rnacentral:lncRNA from 1 species
AGCAACAAAGGGAUUCAGCUGCACGUUUGAGAGCUGUUGGCAAGACCUCAGGACAGAGUGCCCUCUGUGUCUGGUGGUGAUUCUCAGACACCAUCACAUUCUGAUCCUGCAUUGUUAGCCAUUCUACUGACUACAUCUACUCCUAAGUUAAGGACUUUCUUGAGCCUAUCUCAUGACUGGCCCUUUCUGAAGGGAAGUAUGGCAGCUAGUUACUUUAAUGAGCAUUUCCCAAUGGGUAAGGAACAGUCUGUGAACCUAUGAGUUUUGUUUUGUUUUGUUUUGUUUUUAAUUUUUGAGACAGAGUCUCGCUCUGUCGCCCAGACUAGAGUGCAGUGGUGCAAUCUCAGCUCACUGCAACCUCGACGUCUUGGGUUCAAGCGAUUCUCCUGCCUCAGCCUCCCAAGUGGCUGGGAUUAUAGGUGCCCAUCACCACGCAUGGCCUAUUUUUGUAUUUUUAGUAGAGACAAGGUUUCACCCUGUUGGCGAGGCUGGUCUCAAACUCCUGACGCCCAGUGAUCUGCCCACCUCGGCCUCCCAAAGUGCUGGGAUUACAGGCGGGAGCCACCAUGAUGGCCAACUUUUGAAUUCUGAACCAGUUGAUUGAGUACCAGAGCUCUUCAAUACCUUGAAGAAAGAUUCAGGGGAGAGCCGUUGUGAACAGCUUGCCCCAGGGAAAGGACAAGGCUGAGAGAAUUCCAGGGCUUCCUUGAGAAAACAGAAUUGAGGAAAUGCAAAGUGAAGAAUUCUAGCAUCAGGAACAAGAGAAGAAUGAUGGAAAACCUGCUACUGAGAUAUGUUGGAUAUUUUGCACAAGUGAAACAUCUCUACAACUGGAAUCUCCCUCCAAGACGGAUACUCUUUAUAAUAAGAUUCAUUAUUUAUUCGAUUCGUGAUACUGCAUGACAUUGAAACAGCUGGUGUAUUAACUAAUGUAUAUGACAGUCCAUCUCUGUACGAUGAUGUGAAAGUGCAGUUUUUCUCUUCGGCUUUAUCUACCAAGAAAUGAAUUGGAUAAUCCACAUCAACAAAAAGCAUGGAAAAUUUAUCCACCAGAAUUUGCCGUGGAGAUACUUUUUGGCGAGAAAUGACUUCCAAUGACGUAGCUGGAUCCGAUUAAGUAUAGUUUCCCCUUCCCCUUCUGGGAAAGAAUUAAUGUUCUUUCCAACCCCUGCCAUGUGCAUGUUCAUAUGUCCUAAGUCUUCCUUGAUGAUGUAUCUAUAUUUAUAUAUGUUUAUAUAUGUUCUUCAUAAAUCUAUUAAAUAUAUAUAGAUAAAA